rnacentral:rRNA from 1 species
UACGGAGGGUGCAAGCGUUAUCCGGAUUCACUGGGUUUAAAGGGUGCGUAGGCGGGCAGGUAAGUCAGUGGUGAAAUCUUUGGGCUUAACCCGAAAACUGCCAUUGAUACUAUCUGUCUUGAAUAUUGUGGAGGUGAGCGGAAUAUGUCAUGUAGCGGUGAAAUGCUUAGAUAUGACAUAGAACACCCAUUGCGAAGGCAGCUCACUACGCAUAUAUUGACGCUGAUGCACGAAAGCGUGGGGAUCAA